CCUACGGGAGGCAGCAGUGGGGAAUAUUGGACAAUGGGCGAAAGCCUGAUCCAGCCAUGCCGCGUGUGUGAAGAAGGCCUUCGGGUUGUAAAGCACUUUCAGUGGGGAAGAAAGCCUUGGGGCUAAUACCCUCGAGGAAGGACAUCACCCACAGAAGAAGCACCGGCUAACUCCGUGCCAGCAGCCGCGGUAAUACGGAGGGUGCGAGCGUUAAUCGGAAUUACUGGGCGUAAAGCGCGCGUAGGCGGUCUGAUAAGCCGGUUGUGAAAGCCCCGGGCUCAACCUGGGAACGGCAUCCGGAACUGUCAGGCUAGAGUGCAGGAGAGGAAGGUAGAAUUCCCGGUGUAGGGGUGAAAUGCGUAGAGAUCGGGAGGAAUACCAGUGGCGAAGGCGGCCUUCUGGACUGACACUGACGCUGAGGUGCGAAAGCGUGGGUAGCAAACAGGAUUAGAUACCCUAGUAUC
rnacentral:rRNA from 1 species